rnacentral:rRNA from 1 species
AACGAACGCUGGCGGCAUGCCUAACACAUGCAAGUCGAACGAGACCUUCGGGUCUAGUGGCGCACGGGUGCGUAACGCGUUGGAACCUUCCCUUAGGUUCGGAAUAACUCCCCUUAAGGGGUGCUAAUACCGGUUAAUGUCUUCUGACCAAAGAUUUAUCGCCUUUGGUUGGGCCCGCAUUGGAUUAGCUAGUUGGUAGGGUAAAAGCCUACCAAGGCGAGGAUCCAUAGCUGGUUUGAGAGGAAGAUCAGCCACACUGAGACUGGGACACGGCGCAGACUACUACGGGAGGGAGCAGUGGGGAAUAUUGGACAAUGGGGGAAAGGCUGAACCAGCAAUGGCGCGUGAGUGAUGAAGGCGUUAGGGUAGUAAAGCAGUUUUACACGGGAUGAUAAUGACAGUACCGGGAGAAUAAGCUCCGGCUAACUCCGUG